CAGAGGUCCCGAGCGUUGUUCGGAUUUACUGGGCGUAAAGGGUGCGUAGGUGGCCGGGAAAGUCUGGUGUGAAAUCUCUGAGCUUAACUCAGAAAUGGCACUGGAAACUCUCUGGCUUGAGGAUCGGAAGGGAGACUGGAAUUCUCGGUGUAGCAGUGAAAUGCGUAGAUAUCGAGAGGAACACCAGUGGCGAAGGCGAGUCUCUGGACGAGCCCUGACACUGAGGUACGAAAGCUAGGGGAGCAAACAGGAUUAGAUACCCUGGUAGUCCUAGCUGUAAACGGUGCACAUUUGCUGUAAGAGGAAUCGACCCCUUUUGUGGCGAAGCUAACGCGAUAAAUGUGCCGCCUGGGGAGUACGGUCGCAAGAUUA
rnacentral:rRNA from 1 species